GUGAGGAAUAUUGCGCAAUGGAGGCAACUCUGACGCAGCCAUGCCGCGUGCAGGAAGAAGGCGCUACGCGUUGUAAACUGCUUUUAACCGGGAAGAAACCCCAGGACGUGUCCUGGGUUGACGGUACCGGAGGAAUAAGCACCGGCUCACUUCGUGCCAGCAGCCGCGGUAAUACGAAGGGUGCAAGCGUUAUCCGGAUUCAUUGGGUUUAAAGGGUGCGUAGGCGGAGCGUUAAGUCAGUGGUGAAAUCCUGCAGCUUAACUGUAGACUUGCCAUUGAUACUGGCGCUCUUGAGUGCGCUUGAAGUGGGCGGAAUGUGCCGUGUAGCGGUGAAAUGCUUAGAUAUGGCACAGAACACCAAUUGCGAAGGCAGCUCACUAAGGCGAUACUGACGCUGAGGCACGAAAGCGUGGGGAUCGAACAGGAUUAGAUACCCUGGUAGUCC
rnacentral:rRNA from 1 species